rnacentral:piRNA from 1 species
UCCAUUGAAAGUGUGGUUAAAAGCAGUUGAA